GACGAACGCUGGCGGCGUGCUUAACACAUGCAAGUCGAACGGUGAACGAGGGAGCUUGCUCCCUCCGGAUCAGUGGCGAACGGGUGAGUAACACGUGAGCAACCUGCCCUGAACUCUGGGAUAAGCGUUGGAAACGACGUCUAAUACCGGAUACGACGCGGGAGGGCAUCCUCUCCGCGUGGAAAGAACUUCGGUUCGGGAUGAGCUCGCGGCCUAUCAGCUUGUUGGUGUGGUAACGGCUCACCAAGGCGACGACGGGUAGCCGGCCUGAGAGGGUGACCGGCCACACUGGGACUGAGACACGGCCCAGACUCCUACGGGAGGCAGCAGUGGGGAAUAUUGCACAAUGGGCGCAAGCCUGAUGCAGCAACGCCGCGUGAGGGACGACGGCCUUCGGGUUGUAAACCUCUUUUAGCAGGGAAGAAGCGAAAGUGACGGUACCUGCAGAAAAAGCACCGGCUAACUACGUG
rnacentral:rRNA from 1 species